AUUCCUGUGGCUUUAGAACAAAUGCUUGAAUAACUGCAAAGGUGCAGCAAAACAAACUACAAUGAGUACGAUUUUGUGGUCCAACGAUUGAUGUCAUUACAAAGUAAAAUUGAUGAGGAGGAAAAAAUUUAAGUGCAAAAAUGAAAAAUGGCCCGGUCCUUAAGGGGUUGAAGGUAAGUGGGGCUGCUCUCUCUCUCUCUGCAAUAUACAGGACAUGUGUACAAAAUAUAGCAGUGGCAGUGUAAAGUUGGCACAAUGGAGCAAGUUCCAUGAAGAGAUCACAUUGGAGGGAUGCAACGGUAUAAGACACCCCACCCAUUGAACCACAAACAAGCUGAAUUCCAUGCAAAAGACCAGUGCUUUCUAACCAGGGUGCCUCCAGCUGUUGCAAAUUCCCUGUGGUCGCUCCACCCACUGAAGCAGAACAGGCUCCCUGUCAUCACCUGACUAGUGAGGUAGUGUCUCGGCCGCACUGCAUCCUGAGAAAACCUGAGACAGGAGUCAUUUUGUAUGCUGCUAAAAAUAAUCAUAAAUUACAAUAGUCGCCCAACCUAUUGUACAUGGCGAUACUGUAUUGUGGUGCACAAAUUGCUAUAUAUAUUGGCAACCUACUGACUAUCUGUGUGACGCUUUUACCAGUGGUGUAGGGUCUGAUAUAUGUCCGAUUGUUUCACUUGAACCACUAUACUGCACUUUGAUUGGAUGUGGUGUUUUUUUUUUAAUCAUAUUAAAAGUUAUAUUUUAUGCAUCCCCCCCCCACUAAUUUCUGUUAUAUUACUGGGAGAUUUACCACAUCAUAGGUGGGUGGA